rnacentral:rRNA from 1 species
UGUGGAGGCAAAGCAAAAGCGAGUAGGUUUUCCUGCGUUUGUUGCAUGCAUUUGACCCGAAACUAAGUGAUCUCGUUUUGAGCAGGUUGAAGAAAGCGUAAAGUCUUUUGGAGGACCGAACCGACGUCUGUAGCAAUAGGCGCGGAUGACUUGAUACGAGGGGUGAAAGGCCAAUCAAACUUAGAAAUAGCUGGUUCUUCGCGAAAUUUAUUGAGGUAAAGCGUCUAUUAAAUCUUUCUGGGGGUAGAGCACUUAUUGAGCUAUGGGGGUCCAAAACCUUACUGCUCUCAAGAAAACUCCGAAUACCAGUAAAGUAUAAUAGGCAGACAGACAAGCGGUGCUAAGGUCGCUUGUCGAAAGGGAAACAGCCCAGCCUGGCCGCUAAGGUCCCAAAGCAUUCUGUGAGUGGGAAAAGAUGUGAUACAACUAUGACAACUAGGAGGUUGGCUUGGAAGCAGCCAUUCUAUCAUGAAAGCGUAAUAGCUCACUAGUCGAGUUGUGUUGCGCUGAAAAUGUAUCGGGGCUGAACAGAAUCACCGAAGCGCCAGUUUUUAAGUAGCGAAGCGUUUUGUGCGCCAAUGAACAUACAUCGUAAGAUUUGUGGAAGGUCUCAAAAGUGACUAUGCUGACAUGAGUAACGAAAAAUCAUGUAAAGCCAUGAUCGCCGUAAGUCCAAGGGUUUCUGCUAACUGGGAAUCAGUGCAGAGUUAAGUUCGGUCCCUAAGAGUUUGUAUACACUUAUACGCUCGAUGGAGGACGUUUAUGCAAGACGGCUAUUAUACACAAAUACUGCAAAUUGGAUACGGUGUAUGUGUGUUGUAGUCCAGGAAAAAAGCAUUAAUGCAAGACCGUACCCGAAACCGACACAGGUGGACGAGUCGAGUAGACUCAGGCGUUGAGUGAACCAUAUUGAAGGAACUCGGCAAAAUAAUCCCGUAACUUAGGAAGAAGGGAUACCGAAAGGUGACACAAAAAUGGGGGUGACGACUUUUUACUAAAAAAUUAGGACUCUGCAAAAUGGUAACAUGCUGUAUAGGGUCUGACGUCUGCCCGGUGCUAGAAGUCUAAAAGGCGCAUUGCAAGAUGCAAAUGGAAAGCCUAGUAAACGGCGGUUGUAACUAUAACAAUCAUAAAGUAGCGAAAUUCAUUGCCAGCUAAUUCCUGGCCUGCAUGAAAGACGUAACGAUUGCCCCACUGUCUCCAGUAUGGACUCAGUGAAAUUGAAUUCUCCGUGCAGAUGCGGAGUACGUGCCCCAAGACGAGAAGACCCUGUGCAUCUUUACUGUACAUUUGCAUUGACAAAACGAUGAGCAUGCGUAGGAUAGGUGGGAGUACAUACAUCCUUGAAAUACCACCCUUGCCAUGGGUUUUGUCUUACACCGAAUUUGGUGCACAAUGCAUGUGAGGCAGUUUGACUGGGGCGGUCGCCUCCUAAAAGGUAACGGAGGCGUGCGAAGGUAAACUCAAUGCAAGACGGAAACUUGCUGAAGAGCGUAAUGGUAUAUGUUUGCCUGACUGUAAGAUGUACACAUCAAACAGAGACGAAAGUCGGCCAUAAUGAUCCACAAGUGCCGUGUGGAAGGGCUUGUGCUUAACGAAUCAAAGAUACGCCAGGGAUAACAGGCUGAUAAUUCCCAAGAGUCCUUAUCGACGGAAUUGUUUGGCACCUCGAUGUUGACUGAUCAUAUCCUGGGGCUGAAGAAGGUCCCAAGGGUUCGGCUGUUCGCCGAAUAAAAUGGUACCUGAGUUGAGUUUAGAACGUCGUGAGACAGUUUGGAUUCUACCUGGGGUGCGCGUAAAGAAUUGAGAAAACCAUUUCCUUGUACGAGAGGACCGGAAAUGUCCAACCUCUGGUGCACUGGUUGUUCUGCCAAGAGCAUUGCCAGGUAGCUACGUUGGGUAAGGAGAACCGUUGAAAGCAUCUUAAAUGGGAAACUUUUUUCAAGACAAAUUCUUAGACCCACGUGAAAGUCUCUCACGUCGAUAGGCGAAGCGUGAACCUUUUGAAAAAAAGAAGCUGAUUCGUACUAAAAUGACCCUUAUAGCUAAAAU